rnacentral:rRNA from 1 species
CCUACGGGGUGCAGCAGUGGGGGAUAUUGCACAAUGGGGGAAACCCUGAUGCAGCGACGCCGCGUGGGUGAAGAAGCGCCUCGGCGCGUAAAGCCCUGUCAGCAGGGAAGAAAAUGACGGUACCUGAAGAAGAAGCCCCGGCUAACUACGUGCCAGCAGCCGCGGUAAUACGGAGGGGGCAAGCGUUAUCCGGAUUUACUGGGUGUAAAGGGGGCGCAGGCGGCGAUGCAAGCCAGGAGUGAAAGCCCGGGGCCCAACCCCGGGACUGCUCUUGGAACUGCGUGGCUAGAGUGCAGGAGGGGCAGGCGGAAUUCCUGGUGUAGCGGGGAAAUGCGUAGAUAUCAGGAGGAACACCGGUGGCGAAGGCGGCCUGCUGGACUGCAACUGACGUUGAGGCCCGAAAGCGUGGGGAGCAAACAGGAUUAGAUACCCGAGUAGUC